ACUAAUAACUAGCUGUUUUAAUCCUUGGAUUUUGAAUACCGGAUCGGUACGGGUUACCAAUGCCUGCGCUCGGAGGUUCGACCCCCCUUGUGGUGCGCCCCCCUAAUUUGAUGGUGCUGAGUCCAAAAAUGCUAUUGUUAUUUGGCGCUGAGGCCCCGUUAUCGAGAUACAAGGCCCCAAAGUUGGGGCCUAUCGGUCGAAUUUUGGUAAUUUUUUACAUAAUUUUAGGAGAUAAUUUCAAAAUUUUAGUGAAUUUUGAUGUGAUUUUACAUUCCGAAUCGAAUGCAAUCAUUUCCGUUAACCUAUGACCUAC
rnacentral:lncRNA from 1 species